UCUGUGGAAAUCAGUUUGGACAGGACACACUAGGUAAGAGAGGGAGGAACUCAGAAUAACUACCUGAGGAACGGCUGUCAGUGAAUUUUUAGCCACAAUGAAUCACAGAUGAUACGAUCAUGGUGAGAAGGCAAAGGGAAAUCAUGUUAUCAAAGGGGAAGACUUCAGUGAAGGCGGCUGCAU